rnacentral:rRNA from 1 species
GUAGUCUCGCACAGAUGCAUAUCAAUAAGCGGAGGAAAAGAAACUAACAAGGAUUCCCUCAGUAACGGCGAGUGAAGCGGGAAGAGCUCAAAUUUGAAAUCUUGAAAGGUCACCUUUCACGAAUUGUAGUUUAAAGAAGUGUUUUCUGUUACGAUCGUAAUAUAAGUUCUUUGGAAUAGGACAUCACAGAGGGUGAGAAUCCCGUCCUAUGAUUGCGAUUUGUAGCUUUGUGAUACACUUUCAAAGAGUCGGGUUGUUUGGGAAUGCAGCCCAAAACGGGAGGUAAAUUUCUUCUAAGGCUAAAUAUUGGCGAGAGACCGAUAGCGAACAAGUACCGUGAGGGAAAGAUGAAAAGAACUUUGAAAAGAGAGUUAAACAGUACGUGAAAUUGUCAAAAGGGAAGCGUUUGAACACCAGUGUUGUUUUCCUCGAAAAUCAAUUAAAAAUGGCUCGAUUUUGUAUUGCUGAGACCUUAAAAGCUCACUGUACAUUUUUCGUGUCUUUUUUAAUGCACUUUUUCGUUUAACAAGGUCAACAUCAGUUUCUUUUGUUGUAAAAAGGGUCAAUUGGAAGGUGGCUUUCUUUUCGGAGAAAGUGUUUAUAGCCUUUGGCCUCUGCAGAUCGGAGAGACUGAGGUCUGCAGCGUAGACUCUUUCGGGGUUAGAUACAUUUGUGCUAAGUUAUAGCUUUUAUAGACAACUUGUUGACUAUAAUUAGUCUUGUAGCUUACUCGCUUAUGCUAUUUUAACUACGCUUAGGAUGUUGAGUCGUAGAGCACGCAG